rnacentral:rRNA from 1 species
UACGUAGGGUGCAAGCGUUAAUCGGAAUUACUGGGCGUAAAGCGUGCGCAGGCGGUUUUGUAAGUCAGAUGUGAAAUCCCCGGGCUUAACCUGGGAACUGCGUUUGAAACUACAAGGCUAGAGUGUGGCAGAGGGGGGUGGAAUUCCACGUGUAGCAGUGAAAUGCGUAGAGAUGUGGAGGAACACCGGUGGCGAAGGCGGCUCACUGGCCCGUAACUGACGCUCAUGCACGAAAGCGUGGGGAGCAAACAGG